GUCAAUAGCCAUAUCACCCAGAAUACCCUUGAUCUCAUCUGAUCUCUUAGCUAAGUAGGGUAGGGCUUGGUUAGUACUUGGAUGGGAGGAUACGUAUUUAUGUGUAGAUU
rnacentral:rRNA from 1 species